AUACGGAGGGUGCAAGCGUUGUUCGGAAUUACUGGGCGUAAAGCGCGCGUAGGCGGUCUGUUAUGUCAGAUGUGAAAGUCCUCGGCUCAACCGGGGAAGUGCAUUUGAAACUGGCAGACUUGAGUACUGGAGGGGGUGGUGGAAUUCCCGGUGUAGAGGUGAAAUUCGUAGAUAUCAGGAGGAAUACCGGUGGCGAAGGCGACCACCUGGCCAGAUACUGACGCUCAGGUGCGAAAGCUUGGGGAGCAAACAGGAUUAGAUACCCGAGUAGUCC
rnacentral:rRNA from 1 species